rnacentral:rRNA from 1 species
GGCGUCACGAAGGCCCCACUGUCUUAAGAGGACUCUCCAUGAAAUUGAAUUCGUAGUGAAGAUGCUACGUCCAUAUUGUAAGACGAAAAGACCCCAUUGAGCUUUACUAAAGACUUGCAUGGCUCAAAAUAAUUUAAAUAAAGAGUUUAGAUAAUGUGGGAUCCGUUUCCGGUUAAUGAAACACCACUCUUUUAUUUUAAAAGAGCUAACAUAGCAGGGAUAAUGUAAGUUGGAUAGUUUGGUUGGGGCGACCACCUUUUAAAAGGUAACGAAGGUGAGCUUAAGGUCCGUAGUUAAUAGCCGGUGGCCUGACUGCAAGGGGGACGUCUCGAGCAGACACGUCCUUAGGGAUGUGGGCUAUAGUGACCCGUCAUCUUAGCGUGGAAUAGUUGACGAUCAACGAAU